rnacentral:misc_RNA from 1 species
GCACCCUGUCCCCGCGCUUGAGCCUCCGCUUCGCCUCCAUGUAGGAGAGCACGUACCAGAGGCUGCUCGCGGACGUGUUCCCCCACCGGUGCAGCGUCAUCCUGGCCGGCUCCACGUCGUGGGCGGUGAGCCCCAGGCUCUUCCUGACCGCCUCGAUCACCGCCGUCCCGCCGGGGUGGAGGCAGAAGUGGUCCACGCCGGCCUUGAAGUCGAUCUUGGGGCUGCCGCCGGCGUGCUUGUUGCGCGGGGUACCCGCCGGCAGGAGCUUGCGGAGGAGGAGGCGGGACGCGAAGCGCGCGAGCUCGCGGGCGGGCAGGAUCCGCGGCGCCAGGCGCUGCAGGUUCUCGGUGAAGGCGCGCACGGCGGCCUUGGGCAGCGCCUUGCUGAGGCUGACGCCGAGGCGGCCGUCGGCGUCCUCGCGGUGCACGGCGGCGGCGUGCGCGUCGUCGUGCGCGCCGAUGUUGGCGCGCACGAGGCAGCGCAGCUCCAUCUUGGCGCGCGCC